rnacentral:rRNA from 1 species
GUAAGCUACUAAGAGCGAAUGGUGGAUGCCUUGACUGGUAAAGGCGAUGAAGGACGUACUAGACUGCGAUAAGCUACGGGGAGCUGUCAAGAAGCUUUGAUCCGUAGAUUUCCGAAUGGGGCAACCCAAUGUAUAGAGAUAUACAUUACCUAUAUAGGAGCGAACGAGGGGAAUUGAAACAUCUUAGUACCCUCAGGAAAAGAAAUCAAUAGAGAUUGCGUCAGUAGCGGCGAGCGAAAGCGUAAGAGGGCAAACCCAGUGCUUGCACUGGGGGUUGUAGGACUGCAAUGUGCAAGAGGUGAGUUUAGCAGAACAUUCUGGAAAGUAUAGCCAUAGAGGGUGAUAGUCCCGUAUGCGAAAAACAAACCUUAGCUAGCAGUAUCCUGAGUAGGGCGGGACACGAGAAAUCCUGUCUGAAGCUGGGUCGACCACGAUCCAACCCUAAAUACUAAUACCAGAUCGAUAGUGCACAAGUACCGUGAGGGAAAGGUGAAAAGAACUGAGGUGAUCAGAGUGAAAUAGAACCUGAAACCAUUUGCUUACAAUCAUUCAGAGCACUAUGUAGCAAUACAGUGUGAUGGACUGCCUUUUGCAUAAUGAGCCUGCGAGUUGUGGUGUCUGGCAAGGUUAAGCAAACGCGAAGCCGUAGCGAAAGCGAGUCUGAAUAGGGCGCUUAGUCAGAUGCUGCAGACCCGAAACGAAGUGAUCUAUCCAUGAGCAAGUUGAAGCUAGUGUAAGAACUAGUGGAGGACUGAACCCAUAGGCGUUGAAAAGCCCCGGGAUGACUUGUGGAUAGGGGUGAAAGGCCAAUCAAACUUCGUGAUAGCUGGUUCUCUCCGAAAUAUAUUUAGGUAUAGCGUUGUGUCGUAAUAUAAGGGGGUAGAGCACUGAAUGGGCUAGGGCAUACACCAAUGUACCAAACCCUAUCAAACUCCGAAUACCUUAUAUGUAAUCACAGCAGUCAGGCGGCGAGUGAUAAAAUCCGUCGUCAAGAGGGAAACAACCCAGACUACCAGCUAAGGUCCCUAAAUCUUACUUAAGUGGAAAACGAUGUGAAGUUACUUAAACAACCAGGAGGUUGGCUUAGAAGCAGCCAUCCUUUAAAGAAAGCGUAAUAGCUCACUGGUCUAGUGAUUUUGCGCGGAAAAUAUAACGGGGCUAAAGUAAGUACCGAAGCUGUAGACUUGCGCACAACUUAGAUUAUUUAAGUUUAGAAUAUGAGAAACUAAGUUAUAUGUUUAGUUAUAUUUUUACUGAUUUUUAUAGAGUAAAGAUAGAAAUAAAACUUAGUAAAAUCAGUAAAAAUAUUCUUAGACUAAAGUUAAGUAGUUUAAGUUGUGUGCAAGUGGUAGGAGAGCGUUCUAUUUGCGUCGAAGGUAUACCGGUAAGGAGUGCUGGAGCGAAUAGAAGUGAGCAUGCAGGCAUGAGUAGCGAUAAUUAAUGUGAGAAUCAUUAACGCCGUAAACCCAAGGUUUCCUACGCGAUGCUCGUCAUCGUAGGGUUAGUCGGGUCCUAAGUCGAGUCCGAAAGGGGUAGACGAUGGCAAAUUGGUUAAUAUUCCAAUACCAACAUUAGUGUGCGAUGGAAGGACGCUUAGGGCUAAGGGGGCUAGCGGAUGGAAGUGCUAGUCUAAGGUCGUAGGAGGUUAUACAGGCAAAUCCGUAUAACAAUACUCCGAGAACUGAAAGGCUUUUUGAAGUCUUCGGAUGGAUAGAAGAACCCCUGAUGCCAUCGAGCCAAGAAAAGUUUCUAAGUUUAGCUAAUGUUGCCCGUACCGUAAACCGACACAGGUGGGUGGGAUGAGUAUUCUAAGGCGCGUGGAAGAACUCUCUUUAAGGAACUCUGCAAAAUAGCACCGUAUCUUCGGUAUAAGGUGUGGUUCGCUUCGUAUUAGGAUUUACUCCGAAAGCGAAGAAACUUACAACAAAGAGUCCCUCCCGACUGUUUACCAAAAACACAGCACUCUGCUAACUCGUAAGAGGAUGUAUAGGGUGUGACGCCUGCCCGGUGCUCGAAGGUUAAUUGAUGGGGUUAGCAUUAGCGAAGCUCUUGAUCGAAGCCCGAGUAAACGGCGGCCGUAACUAUAACGGUCCUAAGGUAGCGAAAUUCCUUGUCGGUUAAAUACCGACCUGCAUGAAUGGCGUAACGAGAUGGGAGCUGUCUCAAAGAGGGAUCCAGUGAAAUUGUAGUGGAGGUGAAAAUUCCUCCUACCCGCGGCAAGACGGAAAGACCCCGUGGACCUUUACUACAGCUUGACACUGCUAUUUGGAUAAGAAUGUGCAGGAUAGGUGGGAGGCUUUGAGUAUAUGACGCCAGUUGUAUAUGAGCCAUUGUUGAGAUACCACUCUUUCUUAUUUGGGUAGCUAACCAGCUUGAGUUAUCCUCAAGUGGGACAAUGUCUGGUGGGUAGUUUGACUGGGGCGGUCGCCUCCCAAAUAAUAACGGAGGCUUACAAAGGUUGGCUCAGAACGGUUGGAAAUCGUUCGUAGAGUAUAAAGGUAUAAGCCAGCUUAACUGCAAGACAUACAAGUCAAGCAGAGACGAAAGUCGGUCUUAGUGAUCCGGUGGUUCUGUGUGGAAGGGCCAUCGCUCAAAGGAUAAAAGGUACCCCGGGGAUAACAGGCUGAUCUCCCCCAAGAGCUCACAUCGACGGGGAGGUUUGGCACCUCGAUGUCGGCUCAUCGCAUCCUGGGGCUGGAGCAGGUCCCAAGGGUAUGGCUGUUCGCCAUUUAAAGCGGUACGCGAGCUGGGUUCAGAACGUCGUGAGACAGUUCGGUCCCUAUCUGCCGUGGGCGUAAGAAGAUUGAAGAGAUUUGACCCUAGUACGAGAG